rnacentral:rRNA from 1 species
GACGGAGGAGGCAAACAUUGUCCGGAAUUAUUGGGCGUAAAGAACACGUAGGCGGUUUUUCAAGUCAAAUGUGAAAACCUUGGGCUUAACUUGAGGAUUGCAUUUGAAACUGAAAAGCUAGAGUACAGUAGAGGAAAGUGGAAUUCCUGGUGUAGCGGUGAAAUGCGCAGAUAUCAGGAAGAACACCAGUGGCGAAAGCGGCUUUCUGGACUGUUACUGACGCUGAGGUGUGAAAGCUAGGGGAGCGAACAGG